UACAGAGGGUGCAAGCGUUGUUCGGAAUUACUGGGCGUAAAGCGUGCGUAGACGGCUAUCUAAGUCGGGUGUGAAAGCCCCGGGCUCAACCUGGGAAUUGCAUUCGAGACUGAAUAGCUAGGGUGCGGUAGAGGGAAGCGGAAUUUCCGGUGUAGCGGUGAAAUGCGUAGAUAUCGGAAGGAACAUCAGUGGCGAAAGCGGCUUCCUGGACCAGCACCGACGUUCAGGCACGAAAGCGUGGGGAGCAAACAGG
rnacentral:rRNA from 1 species